UCUCAUCUCCCCCGAUCACACAGGUAAGAGCAUGAUUCUCAUCUCCCCUGAUCACACAGGUAAGAGCAUGAUUCUCAUCUCCCCCGAUCACACAGGUAAGAGCAUGAUUCUCAUCUCCCUUGAUCGCACAGGUAAGAGCAUGAUUCUCAUCUCCCCUGAUCGCACAGGUAAGAGCAUGAUUCUCAUCUCCCCUGAUUGCACAGGUAAGAGCAUGAUCUGUAUACAUGACAAUGCUUGUAAGAGAAACCCUGUAAAAGUUGAGUAUUUAUUUCAAUGUAUUGCUGAAAUGCAGACACCACACGACACUGCAAAAGUAAAAUAAUGAGUUUUGAGUUUCUUAUAAACACUGUAGGGAGUUCUGUAACACAAAUGUAUAAAAAAAAUAAAGACUGAAGUAUAAUAUUUGACUAAGUGCAAUAAUAAUAAUAAACACUCAGCAAACAUCAGAAAAAGGUAAGGGGACAGUAAAAUAAAAACCUAGUCAUUUGAAGGAAGAACGAAUGUGAGUCAAAUAAGUGAGUUAAAAUAGAAUAGGUCGACUAAAUAAACUUAAUAAUAAAUAUUAAUAAAACAUGUGUUUGAUAAUGUCUGCUACUCUUUGUGAACAUAUUGUUUUGUAAGACUUUGCUGUUUAAAACUGUCCAUCUGAAACCGCCCACGCUUCACAAUCACUUCACAAUCACGUGACAUGUGAUCAGUGGACUGCCAGUUUCUGACUGUCACGUUACUGUACCUUAGUAGUUGACUAUUCGGUGCUACCCCUAACUUGAACUGCAUCCAAAGCAGAAUGCCAUCUCUACACCCUUAUGCUAAUAGUUUCUUCUAUUCUCCUUUUAAAAGAAGUGUGUCGAGCGAAUCUCACCAUGGUGAUAGACAGGAUCCGGCAGGAACAGCAUUGCAAGAAAAUAUGCGUUCAGUGCCAAGAUGUGCUGGAAACGCAGCCAUCGGGAUCCUGUGGCACUUACACUGGUAAUAAAAGACACAUCAUGAAAGAGAUCUUCGGUAAUAUGAAGAAUCUCACACGAUACCGAAUCACAGUUCAUUGUUUAAAGAAGCUUAAAACUCGAACAUAUGAAGUGUAUUUAACAGAAGGAACUCCCAAGAGUGGCCCGAGGAACAUUUCCGUGCAGGCAACUCAUAAUUCAGUCCUGGUCACAUGG